GGUAGCCGGCCUGAGAGGGCGACCGGCCACACUGGGACUGAGACACGGCCCAGACUCCUACGGGAGGCAGCAGUGGGGAAUAUUGGGCAAUGGAGGRAACUCUGACCCAGCGACGCCGCGUGCGGGAUGAAGGCCUUCGGGUUGUAAACCGCUUUCAGCAGGGAAGAAGCGAAAGUGACGGUACCUGCAGAAGAAGCACCGGCUAACUAUGUGCCAGCAGCCGCGGUAAUACAUAGGGUGCAAGCGUUGUCCGGAAUUAUUGGGCGUAAAGAGCUCGUAGGUGGUUCGUCACGUCGGAUGUGAAAMUCUGGGGCUUAACCCCAGACCUGCAUUCGAUACGGGCGAGCUUGAGUNUGGUAGGGGA
rnacentral:rRNA from 1 species